GACGAACGCUGGCGGCGUGCCUAAUACAUGCAAGUCGAGCGGACAGACGGGAGCUUGCUCCCUGAUGUUAGCGGCGGACGGGUGAGUAACACGUGGGUAACCUGCCUGUAAGACUGGGAUAACUCCGGGAAACCGGGGCUAAUACCGGAUGGUUGUCUGAACCGCAUGGUUCAGACAUAUAAGGUGGCUUCGGCUACCACUUACAGAUGGCCCCGCGGCGCAUUAGCUAGUUGGUGAGGUAACGGCUCACCAAGGCAACGAUGCGUAGCCGACCUGAGAGGGUGAUCGGCCACACUGGGACUGAGACACGGCCCAGACUCCUACGGGAGGCAGCAGUAGGGAAUCUUCCGCAAUGGACGAAAGUCUGACGGAGCAACGCCGCGUGAGUGAUGAAGGUUUUCGGAUCGUAAAGCUCUGUUGUUAGGGAAGAACAAGUGCCGUUCAAAUAGGGCGGCACCUUGACGGUACCUAACCAGAAAGCCACGGCUAACUACGUG
rnacentral:rRNA from 1 species